CCCUGGUUAGCUGAGUUGGUAGAGCGCUCCACCUGUAAUGGAGAGGUUCCGGGUUCGAUACCCGGACCAGGCG
rnacentral:tRNA from 1 species